UACGUAGGUGGCGAGCGUUAUUCGGAAUUACUGGGCGUAAAGGGCGCGUAGGCGGCGCUGUAAGUCAGAUGUGAAAUCCCCGGGCUCAACCGGGGAAGUGCAUCUGAUACUGCAGUGCUUGAGUAAUAGAGGGGAAGGUGGAAUUCCUAGUGUAGCAGUGAAAUGCGUAGAUAUGAGGAGGAACACCGGUGGCGAAGGCGACUUACUGGCCAUUUACUGACGCUGAGGCGCGAAAGCGUGGGGAGCAAACAGG
rnacentral:rRNA from 1 species